GCGAGCCGGUGGGCAGGCGCCGGGUACAGCCUGAGGAAGCUCCUCCCUCCGCGCAGGAUGCGUGACGUUGAGAAGCGUGACGGGAGACCGUCGGCAAUGGAACAGAAACGAUACCCGUCUGGGCAAAUGCGAUGAAGGCUUUGCCGGAGGUCGUCCAUGUACGGGGUGAAACGGCCAACCCACGCGGAGCAAGGUCAAACGGGGCCAAUGAAGUUCCUGCCUGAGGUCCGGGUAGACCUCUUAGCCGAAUCCUGCCUAAAACAGAAGGAGGGCUACGGCCGGCACGC
rnacentral:RNase_P_RNA from 1 species